UUACCGGCUAAAAUGGCAAGAAAUUCCUUCGGCCAAGGUGCUGCAUGGUUGUCGUCAGCUCGUGCCGUGAGGUGUUGGGUUAAGUCCCGCAACGAGCGCAACCCUAUUUUAGUUGCCAGCAUAUGGGACUCUAAGANACUGCCUGCGCAACAGGAGGAAGGAGGGGACGACGUCAAAUCAUCAUGGCCCUUACGCCGGGCUACACACGUGCUACAAUGGAGUACAAGGGGCACGGUAACGUAAGCAAUCUCAAAACUUUCUCAGUUCGGAUUGAGGUCUGCAACUCGACCUCAUGAAGUUGGAAUCGCUAGUAAUCGCAAUCAGCAUGUGCGGUGAAUACGUUCCCGGACCUUGUACACACCGCCCGUCAAGCCAUGGAAGUCGGAGACCGAA
rnacentral:rRNA from 1 species